rnacentral:lncRNA from 1 species
AGAACACUGAGUUCCCAGACUGUCCCCUGUCAACCCACAGCACAGAAAGUGACACUUAAGGACAGAGUUGGCAUCUGUGUCUAUCUGAGUGUUCAUGUUCCCAGGACGGAGGAGGGGGUGUCGGUGACGUCAGUCUCGCUGUCUGGCCCCUGCUGCCCGCUCACCCUCAGAGAAGCACCUGGAGCAGCGGGAACACAGAGUUCCUCACGGAGCCUUCACAUACCUCCUGACUCUGCAGCUGAGGUGGCCUCUCAGCAACGGCCACUGCCCACUGCCCAGCACUCACUAUCUGCACAGCACGUCUGGAAGCCCUCCCAGCCCGAGGUUCUGCCGACGUUCUGAAGCCAGGAAGACUUCUGCCGCUUCCAAGGAGGGAGCAGCCAGGGACCAGCCCAAGCCCGAGUGGAGAAGCCAGUGAGGAGGAGCAGGGGGGAGCGGCCGCGGUAGGCCUGAGUGCCAGGGAGGAGGAGCAGUGGGGAGCGGCCUCAGGAGGCCAGGGAGGAGGCUGCCCUGGGCUUCUGUCCCGGGAGGACCAGAUGGACAGGGACUGAAGUCCUGGUCUGAGGGAGAGCUGGGCCCUGACACGCUGCCCUGACGGAGGAGGCAGUGCUCUGAGGAAGCUGUUGAUCCCGGGGUCUCUGAGGAGCCUCAGUGCUGGACUCCAAGGCCAAGGGAAGCGUCUGAGGCCUCCAUGAGUGGAGGAGGAGGCCGGCUUUGUGUUCUCUGUGGCCUGAGCCGACACUAGGCCCUUCAGCUGAAGGAGGAAGCUGGGUGACCAGAAUCCGGGCUCCUGGGGAGCUGGGGCUGACAGUGGAACUCAAAUGCCCCGUCCCUAGG